rfam:Streptomyces sp. NRRL F-6602 F6602contig32.1, whole genome shotgun sequence.
CUUGAUCGAGCCGAGCCACAGCGGCCGGUCCGCGGGCCGGUCCUGGCCGUAGGUCUCAAGGAGCGCCUGCGCCUC